AGCGAACGUUUGCGGCGGGCCUAACACAUGCAAGUCGAACGCACUAGCAAUAGUGAGUGGCGCACGGGUGCGUAACACGUGAGUAAUCAACCCUUCAGCUUGGGAUAACGACUUGAAAGGGUCGCUAAUACCGGAUACGGCGCGGGAGGCUUCGGCUUCUCACGAGAAAGCCUCGCAAGGGGCACUGAAGGACGAGCCUGCGGCCCAUCAGCUAGUUGGUGAGGUAAGAGCUCACCAAGGCGAAGACGGGUAGCUGGUCUGAGAGGAUGAUCAGCCACACUGGAACUGAGACACGGUCCAGACUCCUACGGGAGGCAGCAGUGGGGAAUAUUGCGCAAUGGGCGAAAGCCUGACGCAGCCACGCCGCGUGAGCGAUGAAGGCCUUCGGGUCGUAAAGCUCUGUGGGGAGGAGACGAAGAAAGACCCGUGAAGAGCGGGCCGUUGACGGUAGUCUCCUUAGCAAGCACCGGCUAACUACCGUGCCAGCAGCCGC
rnacentral:rRNA from 1 species